GCACAACGCGAAGAACCUUACCCACCUUUGACAUGUACGGAAUCCUUUAGAGAUAGAGGAGUACUCGAAAGAGAACCGUAACACAGGUGCUGCAUGGCUGUCGUCAGCUCGUGUCGUGAGAUGUUGGGUUAAGUCCCGCAACGAGCGCAACCCUUGCCAUUAGUUGCUACGAAAGGGCACUCUAAUGGGACUGCCGGUGACAAACCGGAGGAAGGUGGGGAUGACGUCAAGUCCUCAUGGCCCUUAUAGGUGGGGCUACACACGUCAUACAAUGGCUGGUACAAAGGGUUGCCAACCCGCGAGGGGGAGCUAAUCCCAUAAAGCCAGUCGUAGUCCGGAUCGCAGUCUGCAACUCGACUGCGUGAAGUCGGAAUCGCUAGUAAUCGUGGAUCAGAAUGUCACGGUGAAUACGUUCCCGGGUCUUGUACACACCG
rnacentral:rRNA from 1 species